GUGCUUGCUUUGACAGCACAUACGCAAAAAAAUGGAACAAUGCAGAGAAAAUUGGCUUGACUCCUACAAAAGGUUGACACAUAUCUGUGAAGCAUUCUAUAUGCUU
ensembl:snRNA U6 U6 spliceosomal RNA